CAACACUUCAGCCCAUCCCAUCCAACCCACCCAUGUCAUAGGCAACUCCGCUCUCUCCCCCCAGCAUUGCUCAAGGCCUGCUACUCCCAUGCAUGCCCCACCUAAGUGCAGGAUGUGGCUUAUGCUCCUGGAUCUCAUCCAUGCUCAGCCACAGCAUAUCCCCCUUUUCCAAAGACCGAAAGCAUUGGGGCAUAUGUGAGAAGGAUCUAGAAAACCGACAGGGGUUCAGUAAUCCCAGCAGCCCAACAGACUGGCAUGACAGCACGACAGCUGAUAUUGCAUUGAUGAAAACUCCACUCUGCUGCCAGGGAGUGAGGAAGUGGCUCUUCUCCCCAGAACCUCGCUCUGCCCAGGUGUUUCGGACCCGCCCGCCCCAUCCAGGCGCGGUACUGCCGCAGCGAGGACUUUGCCUAGCGAAAACUUGCGAAUCCGGCGUUCCUCCGA